GUGGUUGUACUUACAAAUCUACAUCAAUAUGCCUUCUAAGCAUUUGACGGGGGUUCGUUUCCCCCCGAUUGCA
rnacentral:tRNA from 1 species